rnacentral:lncRNA from 1 species
UCAUACACUUUGCAGUCGCACAUACGCACAGACAUACACAUAAUUAAUAAUAAGUCUCGACGCAUGCAUGCAUGCAUGCACGUUCCAAAUUAAUGAGGUACAUCUGUGCAUGUGCACGCGAUGUUGUGUUAAACCUUAAUUGGUCGCUCCUCGUCGAUGUUUCGAUGAUGCCAUGCUUAAUAUCCUUGGAACUGGGGUGGUGGUGGUGAUGCGUAUUUUGCCGACACGACCGGCGGCAUGAUGAACUCGUCGAACUUCGGGGGUGUAAGUGAUUCCGCCAGAGGUGACUGUGGCUCUUCUUUCGCUGGUGCUGGGGUGGUUUUUGCUGGAGGAGGCAAUAACACUGGUGCCGGUGGCGGUGAGCUGACCGGUGCCGGUGGUGGAGGAGACUUGACUGGAGGCGGCGGUGAGCUAACUGGGGCGGGGGGUGGUGGUGAUUUCACCGGAGGAGGUGGUGAGCUCACCGGUGCGGGUGGAGGAGGAGACUUGACUGGAGGUGGCGGCGAGCUAACUGGAGCCGGUGGUGGUGGAGAUUUCACAGGGGGAGGUGGUGAGCUCACUGGAACUGGUGGAGGCUUCACCGGCACAGGUGGUGGAAGCACCUUCUCUGGUGCGGGUGGUGGAAGCACCUUAACUGGCGCUG